rnacentral:lncRNA from 1 species
GUCCGACUCACCAACUAAAACUAUUAUCUAACCCCCUAUAGGUCCGACUCACCAACUAAAACUAUGAUCUAACCCCCUAUAGGUCCGACUCACCAACUAAAACUAUUAUCUAACCCCCUAUAGGUCCGACUCACCAACUAAAACUAUUAUCUAACCCCUAUAGGUCCGACUCACCAACUAAAACUAUUAUCUAACCCCCUAUAGGUCCGACUCACCAACUAAAACUAUUAUCUAACCCCCUAUAGGUCCGACUCACCAACUAAAACUAUUAUCUAACCCCCUAUAGGUCCGACUCACCAACUAAACAAAAUACGGGGGGGGGUUUUCUUCAAAACAUCACAUAACGUCUUCCAGAUAUCUGAGGACACCCUUCCCUCUGAAGGUCGGACCAGUCUGUCACAAGGGUGGAAAAGAUGACGGAUUACCCACACUGAUUGACAAAGUCUAAAACUUCAAGGGUGACCUCCUCCUCCUCCUCUUUAUAUUAUUGAUAUGGGGCCGCUGUAAUAGUCCAGAAAAGGCUACAUAUACCAAGGGGAUAACUGGACUCUCAUCCAUAAAGCCACGGAGCCAGUCACACUCGCAGAGGACACGAUUUGGAUAACUCCCCCCCCCCAGUGAAUUGAUGUCAUGAUCCUGGUGCAGAA